GACGAACGCUGGCGGCGUGCCUAAUACAUGCAAGUAGGACGCAGUUGCGAACGGGGGAGUAACGCGUAUGUAACUACCUAUUAGAGGGGGAUAACUAUUGGAAACGCUAGCUAAUACCGCAUACUAGUAGAUGGACCUGCGUUGUAUUAGCUAGUAGGUUGGGGAAAGGCCUACCUAGGCAACGAUACAUCGCCGACCUGGGGGGGUGGUGCGGCAAAACUGGGCUGAGAAACCGGCCAGAACCCGUCGGGGGGCAGCAGUAGGGAAACUUCGGCAAUUGGGGGAACCCUGGCCGAGGAAAGGCGCGGGGGUGAAAGAGGGUUUCGGGUCGGAAAGCUCUGUUGUUAAGGAAGCGGUACUUAACCAGAAAGGGACGGCUAACUACGUGCCAGCAGCCGCGGUAAUUC
rnacentral:rRNA from 1 species